rnacentral:rRNA from 1 species
UAGGGAAUCUUCCGCAAUGGACGCAAGUCUGACGGAGCAACGCCGCGUGAGUGAAGAAGGAUUUCGGUUCGUAAAACUCUGUUGUUAGAGAAGAACAGCGCAUAGAGUAACUGUUAUGCGUGUGACGGUAUCUAACCAGAAAGCCACGGCUAACUACGUGCCAGCAGCCGCGGUAAUACGUAGGUGGCAAGCGUUGUCCGGAUUUAUUGGGCGUAAAGCGAGCGCAGGCGGUCAAUUAAGUCUGAUGUGAAAGCCCCCGGCUCAACCGGGGGGGGUCAGUGGAAACUGGUUGACUUGAGUGCAGAAGAGUGGAGUGGAAUUCCAUGUGUAGCGGUGAAAUUCGUAGAUAUAUGGAGGAACACCAGUGGCGAAGGCGACUCUCUGGUCUGUAACUGACGCUGAGGCUCGAAAGCGUGGGUAGCAAACAGG